rnacentral:rRNA from 1 species
CCUACGGGUGGCUGCAGUCGAGAAUCUUCGGCAAUGGACGCAAGUCUGACCGAGCGACGCCGCGUGCGGGAUGAAGGCCUUCGGGUUGUAAACCGCUGUCGUAGAGGAGGAAAUUGGCUGGGGUUCUCCCCAGUCAUUGACCUAUUCUAGGAGGAAGGACGGGCUAAGUUCGUGCCAGCAGCCGCGGUAAUACGAACCGUCCAAACGUUAUUCGGAAUUACUGGGCUUAAAGGGUACGUAGGCGGCGCUGUUAGUCGGGUGUGAAAUCCCACGGCUCAACCGUGGAACUGCGCCCGAUACUGCAGUGCUUGAGGGAGACAGAGGUAAGCGGAACUGAUGGUGGAGCGGUGAAAUGCGUUGAUAUCAUCAGGAACACCGGUGGCGAAAGCGGCUUACUGGGUCUCUUCUGACGCUGAGGUACGAAAGCUAGGGGAGCGAAG